AUUGAACGCUAGCGGGAUGCUUUACACAUGCGAGUCGAACGGCAGCGCGGACUUCGGUCUGGCGGCGAGUGGCGAACGGGUGAGUAAUGUAUCGGAACGUGCCCAGUAGCGGGGGAUAACUACGCGAAAGCGUAGCUAAUACCGCAUACGCCCUACGGGGGAAAGCAGGGGAUCGUAAGACCUUGCACUAUUGGAGCGGCCGAUAUCGGAUUAGCUAGUUGGUGAGGUAACGGCUCACCAAGGCGACGAUCCGUAGCUGGUUUGAGAGGACGACCAGCCACACUGGGACUGAGACACGGCCCAGACUCCUACGGGAGGCAGCAGUGGGGAAUUUUGGACAAUGGGGGCAACCCUGAUCCAGCCAUCCCGCGUGUGCGAUGAAGGCCUUCGGGUUGUAAAGCACUUUUGGCAGGAAAGAAACGUCGCGGGCUAAUACCCCGUGGAACUGACGGUACCUGCAGAAUAAGCACCGGCUAACUACGUA
rnacentral:rRNA from 1 species